rnacentral:rRNA from 1 species
CCAGACUCCUACGGGAGGCAGCAGUGGGGAAUAUUGGGCAAUGGGCGCAAGCCUGACCCAGCAACGCCGCGUGAAGGAAGAAGGCCCUCGGGUUGUAAACUUCUUUUAUCAGGGACGAAACAAAUGACGGUACCUGAUGAAUAAGCCACGGCUAACUACGUGCCAGCAGCCGCGGUAAUACGGAGGGUGCGAGCGUUAAUCGGAAUCACUGGGCGUAAAGCGCGCGUAGGCGGCUUUUCAAGUCAGGGGUGAAAUCCCACGGCCCAACCGUGGAACUGCCUUUGAAACUGUAGAGCUUGAGUGUCGGAGAGGGUGGCGGAAUUCCAGGUGUAGGAGUGAAAUCCGUAGAUAUCUGGAGGAACACCGGUGGCGAAGGCGGCCACCUGGACGACAACUGACGCUGAGGUGCGAAAGCGUGGGUAGCAAACAGGAUUAGAUACCCCCGUA